UUACCUUUUUGCCUCUGAAUCUGGCAUGUAUGUGGAGUCUCUGACACUCUCAUGUAUGUGAGGUUCCCAUAUGAGUGCAAUUAACUUAGAUUUUCUCCUGUUAAUCUGUCUCAUGUCAAUUUAAUUCUCCAACCGGACAGAAGAACCCAGAAGGGUAGAAAAAAAUUUCUUCCUCCCCCACAAUUGGCACAGUCAGCUGGAUAAACUUUUCAGCUGGAUUCUGCUCUCUCAGAGGCUGCUGCAGCUGAGAGAUCCUGGGACAUCUGACAAGCACCAGCAGAAGGAUAAACAUCAGAGACCAGAGCAACACCCUAUACCCAGAUCUUUCCAGUGUCAUUGAUGAUGGCUAUCAGCAUAGACUCUCUGCCCAGGGUCAUCACACUCCUAAGGAACUCGAAAGACCAAAGUUAUCAUCUUACAGCAGUUGGGAGGGGCCAUAAAGCCUACAGAGAUGUAUACCUCCUGGAGGGUGCAUAUCCAGCUGGCCAGUUAUUGUUUUACUCUGAUGCUUUUUCAAAAAUGCUUCAUCUUCAAGAAACUUCAUAGAAGCAACUUUUUUGACAAGUAUAGGUCUAUGAUAACUUUCAGAUCAUACCACUGAACUGGGUAAGAAAUUACAGAACUCUAAUGGAAAAACUGAUGGCUUCAUAAAACUACUAACAAAAGACCACAAU
rnacentral:lncRNA from 1 species